AGAGGCCCUCAGAGGUAGAGACUUAACGAGCGGAUGGAUUAUUCAUUCACAUAAUUCAUUUAUCUAUUGAUCAAACAAUAAAAGACGAGGAUUCAUGGAGUUUAGACCUGAAAGUGAAGCGGGGAAAGCAGGUUGAUGGAUGGUAUUUCUGCUCUCUGGGAGCAUAACUGCCCUGAAUAUUAGUCCCAUGUCCCGAGGAAAAGGGGGGAAAGGAGGUCAGGCAGAUUAGACAGAGCAGCGCAGCGGGGUGAGCGAAGCGGCG